rnacentral:rRNA from 1 species
AGGACGAACGCUGGCGGCGUGCUUAACACAUGCAAGUCGAGCGGAAAGGCCCUUCGGGGUACUCGAGCGGCGAACGGGUGAGUAACACGUGAGUAAUCUGCCCCUAGCUCUGGGAUAGCUCCGGGAAAACCGGGAUUAAUACCAGAUACGACCACUUUAGACAUCUGCUGUGGUGGAAAGAAUUUCGGCUAGGGAUGAGCUCGCGGCCUAUCAGCUUGUUGGUGAGGUAACGGCUCACCAAGGCGACGACGGGUAGCCGGCCUGAGAGGGCGACCGGCCACACUGGGACUGAGACACGGCCCAGACUCCUACGGGAGGCAGCAGUGGGGAAUAUUGCGCAAUGGGCGAAAGCCUGACGCAGCGACGCCGCGUGGGGGAUGAAGGCCUUCGGGUUGUAAACCCCUUUCAGCAGGGACGAAGCGAAGUGACGGUACCUGCAGAAGAAGCGCCGGCUAACUACGUGCCAGCAGCCGCGGUAA